ACGGCUCAGUAACACGUAGCUAACCUACCCUUAGGUCAGACAUACCCUCGGGAAACUGAGGUUAAUAUCUGAUAGGAGAUUUAUACUGGAAGGAUUUAUCUUUAAAAUUCGAGCCUAAGGAUGGGGCUGCGGUGGAUUAGGUUGUUGGCGGGGUAAAGGCCCACCAAGCCAGUGAUCCAUAAGGGCUCUUAGCGGAGAGGCCCUGAGAGGGAAUCUGAGACACUAUUCCCAGCCCUACGGGGUGCAGCAGUUAGGAAUAUUCUGCAAUGCGCGUAAGCGUGACAGAUUGAGUCAGAGUGCGCUUCAAUUUGGAAUGCUUUUGUGAAAUGUAAAAAGUUUCACGAAUAAGGACUGGGUAAGACGAGUGCCAGCCGCCGCGGUAAUACUCGCGGUCCAAGUCGCAGCCAUUUUUAUUGGGUCUAAAACAUCCGUAGCUUGCUAUAUUAAGUUCCUUGUGAAAUCUCAUAUCUAAAAUAUGGGGCGGGCAGGGAAUACUGAUUAGCUAGAGACCGGAAGACGUGAGGAGUACGUUCAAAGUAGCGGUCAAAUGUGUUAAUCUUGAACGGACUCACAACAGCGAAGGCACCUCACGAGGACGGUUCUGACAGUAAGGGAUGAAAGCUGGGGGCGCAAAACGGAUUAGAUACCCGUGUAGUCCCAGCAGUAAACACUGCACACUAAACAUUAGUACCUCCUCGAGAGGUAUUGGUGCUGAAGGGAAGCCGAAGAGUGUGCUACCUGGGAAGUAUAGUCGCAAGGCCGAAACUUAAAGGAAUUGGCGGGGGAGCAC
rnacentral:rRNA from 1 species